rnacentral:rRNA from 1 species
UACGAGGGGGGCAAAUGUUGUUCGGAAUCACUGGGCGUAAAGGGCGCGUAGGCGGCCUUCUAAGUCAGACGUGAAAUCCCUCGGCUCAACCGGGGAACUGCGUCUGAGACUGGAGGGCUUGAAUCCGGGAGAGGGAUGUGGAAUUCCAGGUGUAGCGGUGAAAUGCGUAGAUAUCUGGAGGAACACCGGUGGCGAAGGCGGCAUCCUGGACCGGUAUUGACGCUGAGGCGCGAAAGCCAGGGGAGCAAACGGG